rnacentral:lncRNA from 1 species
UCGCCACCACCUCCUCGUCCGCCCUCCGCCCCUUCUUCCUCCUCUUUCUCCCGUUUCUCCCGAAGCUUCAGCUCCACCUCCCGAUCCUCUAAGGUCCGUUUUUCUCUUUUCUUUUAAAUAAUUUUCUCCUCCUCUUUUUUCUUUUUUUGAGUUUGUCGGUUGUUUCUUCCUUGUCUUUCGCCGGUAGUAUUUGAUUUGUUAUCCAUUUUGAUUCGCCGGAAAGUCGGUUUUUGCUUCACCGGUGAUGACAGCUGGUAUUUUACCAUCGCGAAAAAGGAGCAGAAUUUUGUGCUUUUCCUAAACUGGAAUGAAAGGAGAAUUUGUUUUGGACAAAACUACCUUCGUUAUUUUGCGAAAUUUACUGGAUUCUUCCGUUUUUGGGGAUCUGAGCCGGGGUACUAUUGGAAAUUCAGUUUUAAAUUUUAUUAUGUUUGUUUGGCUUUAUUUGAAUAAGUGAAUAAACUAAAAGGAAAUCCAGCUUUACAAGUCAUUUGAUGACGAAUGCAUGCAUGAUUAUUAUACUGCCCUCCGCUCUGCUUUGGUAUCAACGCCCCUUUCUUGAGGUCAAAAAGGUCAUUUUUAAUAAAGAGUUCUAAGCUAAAAGUUACCUUUCUUGGCUUUCCGUGCAGGCUUUUUCUAAAUUUGACUUUGUGAAAAUACCUUUUCAAUUUCUACUGCUAAAAUUGAUGCUAGUGUACAACCACUAUUAAUUAAGGUACAACCCGAUACCAUUUACCUAAUGGUAUUAUCCUACUCAUUUAAACAAACAAAACUGUUUAGCCCCGACUCAUUUUAUUUUUUACAUAAGAGGUGGAUUAUUUAUUGGGUAGCUGAAAAUUUGGAUGAUUUCAGCUUUGGACAAAUAGGGGAUCUUUUAUUGUUGGCUAAGAUCUUUUUGACAACUUCUUACGCCAGCUAUGUGUGUGUGCCCAUGUCUAGUAAAAGAAGUUGGAUUGAAUGAAGCUGGACCAGUUCUAUAAAUAUAGGAUUAUAAUUGGCAAUAGCUUAGACGUAACAACUAUUGACUUUGCAACGUAGAAAAGGACGGACUUUUUUCUAUGCACUACGUGUUUGCUUCACAUGGAGUAUAUUAGUUGUGCGCAAGAUGCAGUUUGUUUUUUCAUAUUGAAAUGUUAAUUUGCUAGAUUGAUAAGAAUUGAUUAGUAGUAGCAAUAGCUGGACCUGGUAAAAAUAACUUUCAAAAAGUUAAAGAAUGAUAUUUGGACCUGUUCUUGUAUAUUUAUUAUAGCCUUUGCGCUUUUAUAUUCGACAAAUGUCCCUUGGACUUGUACGUUUGUUUUUGUAAUUUUGAGCAGGUUAUUGCUAGUUUAGUUGUAUUUGGACUAGUUAGGAAGGAACUGGAAUAGUUUUUUCGUGUACUCCAUAAGGACUUGGACGGUCUACAUUUUUAAUGCACGACAUAGUGUAUUUAUUGUUCUUUGCUCAAAUUACUCAACCUAACCCUAUAUAAUAUUAUUUGCACACUGUUAUUAUGAAAAGCUGACUCUAAGCAAAUUUGAGAUCAAGACAUAGAUUGAUUUAUUUACCUGAUUGCCAUGAAGAGUUGAACACUGAUUCCCUAGCAAGUCAUAAGUUGUUUUUUCACACCGACAAUUUGAUUGUUCUUCCCAAGAGGUUAUGAAUUCCAUGCAGCUAACUUAUGUCUUACAAUGUUCUUCUAAAUUUGUUCCGGCAAAAGGUGUAAGAUUAAUAUUUCAUUAAUUUUGUCAGUACUUUGUUUAGGUAACUAGACUAGAUAUCCUCAUGUAUAUUUUAUAGAAAAGUCCUUGCUGCUUAAACAAUUGACUUUGUUUUGGUCAAUAUUUCAUAAAGUUAAUACCAGUGUUGUCAAAAGGUGCGCUUAAAGCGCACUUAAAUCCUAAAGCGAGGCUCAAAACAUGUUGAGCACUUUGCCUCGUUUAGCGGACGCUUCAGUGUUGUCAUCAAGGCUCUAAGACAUACUUUUUCUUGCCAAUGAGCGUAAUCCUGAAGAGACGUUAAACAAUUGAUAUUUGACUUUAUUGUAAAAAAAUUCAAUUUCGUUAUCUAUAUAUUUGUUAUUCAUGCUUAUAAUUAUUAGUUUUGGACUACACAUACAUAUCUGUAUUUUUUCUCUAUUUGCGUAUUUCUUCAUUAAAGCCCACGCUUUAUUUGCGCUUAAAGCCUUGUGUACCUUAGAGCUUUUUUACACUUUUCGCCUUUGAUAACACUGGUUAAUACUUAUGUAACUAAUUAUUCCAAAAGCUUAUUUCAUUAAUGAUUUAAGUAGUUGAAUGAGUCGGUAACUGUGUCCAAUGACUUAUCUAUUCCCGGAAAAAAAGUCCAAAGGUUCCAGAACUUUUUUAUUAUUGAAAAUAUUUACCGUGAAUGUACAGUUGAAGCAGUUUUAGUGUUUUAAAAAAGGUUUCAAGUAAGGGCUUAUGUCAUGAGAGUCUUUACAUGAUUGCUUGGUAACUUCCUUUUUCUUUUUUGUAAUGAUAAAGUCCGAGUUAACUUGCAUGAACCUCAAUUAUUCCACUGCAUAGCUACUACUAUCAUCUAUUGUUUUUUGUCCCCAUUAGGAUUUGAACCUUGAUUUUCAACGUUUAUACCAUUUCAAUGAUCACUAGACCACACCCUCGGGCACGAUUGCUUAGUGACUUCGUUAGUUUCUUUGGUCAGAAAAUCGCUAUUGCUGCUCUUUUUACUAUCUUUUCUUUGCCAUUGUCCCAUGUAUAGUGUAUACCUUAUGAUGGAUUCAAAUUCUAUGCUUUGGUGAACCUGCUGUUCAACAAUGUCCACUAAAUUUUUUUUGAGUGUAUAUAUAACCUACAACUUGUGGAAUUCCACUGGCUCUGUUGUUGUUGUUGAUAUAUAACCUAUGGCUUCAUCAAUGUUUCUUAAGUUAAUUGAGGAAUUGAUUAGGAGGCAUGUGGUUACAUAUGGACAGUCUCAUUGAGCAUGUAUAUAUUUAUUGGCUUGCCACUUUUUCAAUUUUUUGUUGCAAUUGCAGCGAACAUGUGCUAUUUGCCUUGGGAGUAUGAAACCUGGGAAUGGUCAGGCCAUAUUCACUGCUGAAUGCUCCCACUCCUUCCACUUCAGCUGCAUCGCCAACAGUGUUAAGCAUGGAAACUACCUCUGCCCUAUCUGCAGAUGCAAAUGGAAAGAGAUUCCUCUCAUGUCGUCCUUCAGUACUGAUACAACCAUUAACAAUGCAGGACGGACUCGUG